rnacentral:lncRNA from 1 species
ACAUAAGUAAAAUAUGGAUACGCGCGGUAGAAAACUUACCAAUUUUUUAUAAAGUUUGGGUCUCGAUCGUAUGAGUCAACUUUAUUUAGGUUUAAAUUUUUCUAUGGGGACCUAUAUAAUUGGUUUAUAAACGUGUCUAAAUUUCUCAUGGAUUAGUUUCGCGAGUACUCAAUGAGAUUUCCAACAUUCACGAAUCAAAAAAAUAAGUUCGGCCGGAAGAGAUAAGAGCGUUUCCGUAUGGAUAAUAGGCAUAUCGUUUGUUGACCAAUUUCGGACCUCUUACUACCACAUAUUUAUGUCGUCUGAGUCACACAAAGAAGUGGCGCCAUAAUUCGUUAAGAGCGGUGUUGGGGUAGAAAUUGAAUGAGGAUCUAGGAGCUUGUCGUUGUUGGGCUUGAUGAUCCGAUCUUCCCCUUUAGGGUUGCAGGACUAGGCCCAAAGUCUUCCUAGGAUAGACUUUGUUGUGAUGGAGAGGCUCCAAGCGUGUGUAAUAUCAAUACUGAGAGGACUUAGUAGUGUGCAUGGUGUGGGAGCUAGGAUCUUGCAAGUGUAACAGAAUACAUGCUCAUCAUGAAAAAGGUCUAAUGUGGGUGAGGGAUUGUAAAGUGUGGUGGUGGUGGUGGUGGUGUUUAGAGGUGUCUGAAGAGUGUUUGGAAGGAUGGGUAUGGUGGUGGUGAUCUAGGGUUGGUUGAGCAUGAUGAACUUGGUAAUGGUUUCUUUGACUGUAGGUGUUAUGUCUCAAUCCCACUGUAGCUUCCUUUAAAUAAAAUUGAGGUCGAAGACUGAGGGUAAAAAAAUGACCCGUGACUCUCUAAUUUUAGCAAAGGUCAGAACCCUCUUUCUCACUGUCAUCGUUCGAGCCUUAAGCUAAGAAAACGUAAAGGUGGCAGUGGUUCUGAGGCAUUCUCGAUUUCUUACCAAGCUACUUUUGGUUAACGGGUUCAAACAAGACAUGGCCUUGGGUUUGCCUUAAGCUUAUAAGGUGAAAGUUGUGGAGACAGGUCUGAUGUCACAUCCCGACCCUUAUAUUUUUACCUUAUUUACUAGCCUGAUUAUAAUAAGAAUUUUACCGUCUCCGUCAUUGAGUUAAUAGUUAAUUGGUCCCUAGAGGGGUUUCGGGGACGAUUAUAUGCAGAGGAUUAUUCGUAUGAGGNNNNNNNNNNNNNNNNNNNNACGACGACGGUAAAAAUAGUAAAUUUUAGCUAGUAAAACGUAAUUUUUAUUCGGGUAUUAUUUUUUCGGAGUGUUUUAUUUUUUUGUGGGAGUUGGGUAUAAGGGGGAGUUGGACCGGUUGGAGAGGCCCAACCCUUUUUCCCUCUCUUCUCUCCCGUUUUUCCCUUUUCUUGCCCCCCCCCCCCCCGAGUUUUCUUCCCUGCCGGAUCACCCAACCGCCGUCUGCCGUCGUCCGGCCAGCCACCGGCCGCUGCUCCACCCCAGUUCGGACCCCCAUCUCCUCCUCUCCCUCCCCGGCCUAGCCCCCGAGCCUCUAACCCGCCGGAAGAGGAGAAAACCCGCCGGAAACGCCGGGGAGCAUUUCGCCGGAACUCCCUCCUCCGGCCACCAAUCCGGGCAAGCUUGGUACGGUUUUGUAGCCCUCCAAUCCAGCAGCCUUGCCCUAAAAGGACUCACUCCCUCUUGAGCUAGGUAAGGAGAAAUUUGAGGUGGAAGUUUUAUGGUGUUUUUAGUCGAUUGCCCUAGUUAGGCUUGGAAUUGGUGUUUGUGCUAGUUAGGAAAGUUGUAGAGCAUGAUGAGAGGAUUAUUCUGUCAAAAUUUCAUAGGUUUUGGAGGUCGCCGGAAUUGGCCUCCGGCCGCCGCCGGUUAGGAGAUUUUUAGGGUUUUAAGUGUGGAAUAUUAAGAGGAGUAUAUUGAUGUGAUUUAUGGAAUUUUUGGAUGAGAUUUGGAUAGGUUUGUGAAUUUCCGAAGUUUGGUACUUUUGGCGGUUAAUUAAUGCAGAAUCCGGCCGUAGGAUUUAAGUCGUAUUUUGGGGAGGUUGUAUUUACGACUGUUGAGUAUGAUAUUUAAGUUCGGAUUGUUCCGAUUUAAGAAUAUCGAAGUUAGGCAAUGAUGAGCGUAUUUAUGGCUCUCGGGUAAUUUUGCCUAUUUUGAUUAAAUAUUGGAUUUUUGGUUGGGAAAUUAAUAUUAUAUUUGGAACAGGACGUGAGGAGGCUCGAGCAGACGAGGCCCCAGAUCGACAUCAGGCUUAGGCCUAAUUUGUGAAUGGACGUUUAUUUUAAAUAAAUGCAUGCUAUGGUUCAUGGUUGAUCAAUUAAUGUUGCGGAAAUAUUUUAACGUCAUUUUAAUUUGACGAUUUUUAUUUCUCUUGGAGAGUUACCGAAAAUGGGAUUUUCGGUGGAUAUAAAUAUAUAUUUAUGAGAGAGUAUGUAUAUAAAUGCUAGCUAGCCAUAUGUGUCUGUCCACCUUAAUGGCGUAGCAUAUAGCCGCAUUAUGGUGUGACGUGAGCGUUGGACGUAAGCGUAGUAGUCCUAUUUGAGUGUGUAAUUCAUAUAGGGGGUAUGGACACAUAUUUAUAUACCCGUUUGUCCACCUUGAUGGCGUAGUGUAGCACCGCAUUAAGACGUGACGUGAGCGUUAGACGCGAGCGUAGUAGCCCUAUAUAGACCCAUGAAUUUAUAUAGGGAGUAUGGACGAGUGUAAAUACAUACAUAUAUUAUAGAGUCUGAGAGGCUCGAUAUUUUAUGAGAUAAAAGUUUUAUCGCUUGCGGCAUGCAUUCGAUUUUUCCUUAGAAAUUAAUUUGGGGAAACAUAAAUAUUUUAUUUAUUAUUUUAUUUUUUGUCCACUCACUCUAACGUUAUUAAAUGUUUUCCCCUGGGCCCUUCGUUUUAAAUUGCCCAGUCUGCAGAGUUCGGGUUGGAUCUAGUAGGAGGCGAGGCAUAGUCACCCGCAUUUCUGCCAGUUUUCGUCAGUAGGUUACCUGUUCAACCUACUCGUGUUUUCUUGCUUCUGCUAGUGUUUAGUAGCUCUGAAUACUUUGGGAUUAUUGUAUAUUAUGUGUAGAAUUUCUGAAGGAUAAUUAUGUGAUGUUUGGAAGUGCUAAAUUAAGAGUGUAAUUUAGAAUUUUCGAGUUAGGGUUGUCCAUCUGGAAGGGAGAUUUUCUUAAUCUUUUCAGUAAAUUUUCCUUGGAGGUGGUCCCCGCACGACUUACUCCGGGUUUCAGGGUGAAAUUUGGGGUGGAUCGUGUCAUCUGAGGUGACUUGGUCUGAGGUGAUUUGUGAUGUUAGCAUCCUAUGUCUAAAGGCAUUGGGUGAUGAGAUGAUGAGAUGUGGUAUCCGUUACAUGCCUAUGCACGGGAAACUCAAAUUCAAGUUUGAUCCUCGACUCCCAAGACGUCUCGGACACUUGGCCUUUGGUCUUCAUAGGCCUGACAAAAAUCAUGUGUCCUUCCACACCACAACCCACUAAAUAAGCCCUAUUGGCCUAGUGUUUCUUGGGUCCACAUUACUGGCUGGCCGCGUGGCGUGGCAUGUCAUGAUGGAUGGUUUUCGGUGUAUACCAUCCACCAUGCUCCACGAUGCUUGUGCGCAACUAUGCUUGGCAUGUGUUGACAUAUGUGCCUGGCGUGUGUUGACACAUGCAUGAAAUAGGCGGGCAUGUGGUGGUCAUUGAAGCGUGUCCAUGAGACACCACGUGCCGUAAAGAGAGUAGGCUUAGGCAUGAACUCGCAUGGCAUGGCCUAGCUUAACUCUAAAUGGGUCUUGAGUAGAUUUGGGCACGUCAUGGCGUGGCGUGCCUCCCACGUCCUAGAUAGAUAAAAUGAGUAGGCUUGGGCAUAAAUGAGCAUGUCAUAGUAGGCUUGGGCAUAAAUGAGCAUAUCAUAGUAGGCUUGGGCAUAAACAUCAUGGCGUGGGCUUACCUCCCUCGAUAGGCUUGGGCAUAAAUGAGCAUGUCAUAGUAGGCUUGGGUAUAAAUGAGCAUGUCAUAGUAGGCUUGGGCAUAAACGAGCAUGGCAUGAGUUGGCUUGACUCCCAAAUGGGCCUUGUGUAGGCUUGGCAUGGCUUUCGUGACCUCUUCCUAUAAUUUGGACAUGUCAUGCCGUGGAUUAGAGAUUUUGUACCAAGCCCCGAGUCGCUCGAGGCAGACCAAACGACUCGGAUCCAGGCCUCAUAUCAACUCUAAGCCUGAUCGUUGACCUUAAGUCUCUAAAAAAAACAUGUUUACAUUUUUGGGUAUCAACAUUAGCCCCCUUGAUUAUGUUGCUCGUGUAAGACGAGUGACAUGAUCAAAUGAAAUGCAUCGAAGUACUUGCGCAUGGCUUGUGGACAGCGUCAAUUGCGAGAUCAUGAAUGUGUGCUUGGCAUCUUGGUGCUCGGCCGUGCCUUAGUUUGUUGAAAUUGUGGCUUGUGUGUAUGUAAAAAAGGUACAAGUCACCCAUGAUAGGGACUAAAGAUGUAAUUUAAGAAAAGUGUCGAGGGACCAAACGUGUAAUUUGAGAAAAGUACCGAGGGACCAAACGUGUAAUUUGAGGAAAGUGCCGAGGUACCAAACGUGUAAUUUAAGAAAAGUGCCGAGGGACCAAACGUGUAAUUUGAGGAAAGUACCGAGGUACCAAAUGUGUAAUUUGAGGAAAGUGCCGAGAGACCAAACAUGUAAUUUGAGGAAAGUGUCGAGGGACCAAAGGUGUAAUUUGAGAAAAGUGUCGAGGGACUAAAUGUGUAAUUUGAGGAAAGUACCGAGGGACUAAAUGUGUAAUUUGAGAAAAAUGUCAAGGGACUAAUCGUGUAAUUUGAGAAAAGUGUCGAGGGACUAAACGUGUAAUUUGAGAAAAGUGUCAAGGGACUAAUCCUGUAAUUUGAGAAAAGUGUCGAGGGACUAAACGUGUAAUUUGAGAAAAGUGUCAUGGCAUGACAUGGCAUAGAGGGACAUGAGAAAAUUCAGUCUCCUCCCCUCAAACUUUGUGUAGGAUCCAAAGAGAACAUGUAUAUGUUAAUUGAGGUAGGAAGCAUGUUACCAAGAGCAUGAUAUUUGAGAGGCUUAGGUUUGUUCUUUACAACAUGGAUAAGACACUCAUGUCUAACUUGGUGUCGGAUGACAUUUUGGUAUGGCAUGAUGUGGUGCGUGACCUUAUGUGCUUGAAUGUUCUAAUAGGGUUCCUUAUUAGGCAUCUACAAAAGCUCUUUCAUAUCAUAUUUUCCCCAAUGAGUAAAACGUCAAUUUGGCUUAGAUUAAGGAAUCUUGUGCGGUAUAGAGUAAAGUGAAGAGUGUGGCAUGCCUAGUGACUUAUUCUAUGGGAAGUUGGAAGCUUUAGAUGAGACUGCCUCUGUAACAUUGGCAGGUAAGAAAAGAGUAGGGCACAAAUCCAAAACUUUUCAUACUUACUGGUUUGGAGUCUUGAGUGAUUCUAGCAAGUACGUCCAGUAUGAGACCCGUAAUUCAAGAUUACUAUCCUUUAGGUCAAGUGAUGAUGUAUGGAUGGGAGAAUUCAUCAUAUGACAAUGAGAAUUCGAGUGUCCCAAGUAGGAAGAGGAAAACACAUCCAAAAGCGGUGGAGGACAUUGUAAAGCCCCCAGAUGUAUAGACAAAGAAGAGAAGCUAUUGGGACACAAAAUCAGACAAUGCUACCGUUGCUACGGGAAUUUCAAGUUGAUCGAUAUUGCGUGAGAUUGAUAGUGUGGGUGGGUACAUCUCCUUGGUAGCCUGUGUAACUGUGUAAGUAAAUUAACUUGCUUGUACUUGUAUCACAUUGAAUAGAUAUAUGGAAUCAUUUUGCUAAUUGCACAUGGCAUGACCCAUGUGGUGAUAUCUCAAUAUCUUUCCAUGACCUAGCUUAUGACUAUUUGAGUCAACCUCAUGCAGGCGUAGGGAAAGCUGACCUCCUUGGCUUGCUUGAUUGUAAGCCUUGAGCAAAUGCAUGCUCAUGAAGAAUAGGGAGCUUGUAAUCUUAAAGGGGCUUAUUACUCCAUUUGCUUGACUCGAAGCUUGGUUUUGCUGCUUGGAGUUAUGACUUUGCUAUGGUGCUUGGCACAUAACUUUAUUUUACUGUN